rnacentral:lncRNA from 1 species
CUCAUUGGUUUCUAAGUUCUCAAACAGGAGGGGUAGGGUGACCUUAGGGACUCCAUCUAUAUUUCAUUUAAUUAGUUAUAUUGGCCCAUACAUGAAUAUAUAUUGUUUUGGUGUGGGGAUCUCGACCGUUUCCAAGUUCUCAAACAGGAGGGUUGGGGUGACCACAGGGACUUCCCUUAUAUUUCAUUUGAUUUGUUAUAUUGUCCCAUACAUGAGUAUAUAUGGUUUAGGGGUAAGGAUCUUGACCAUUUCCAAGUUCUCAAACAGGAGGGUAAACAGUGACCUCAGGGACUCCCCCUAUCUUUCAUUUGAAUUAUUAUAUUGUCCCGUACAUGAAUAUAUAUGGUUAAGGGGUGGUGAUCUCAACGGGUUUCAAAUUCUCAAACAAGAGGGGGUGGGGUGACCCAAGGGACUCCCCCUAUAUUUCAUCUGAUUUGUUAUAUUGUCCCAUACAUGAAUAUAUAUGGUUUAGGAGUGGGGAUCUUGACCAAUUUUAAAUUCUAAAAACAGGAGGAGUGGGGUGACCCCCAGCGAUUCUUCCUAUAUUUCAUUUGAUUUUUCAUAUUGUCACAAACAUGAAUAUAUAUGGUAAAGGGUGUGGAUCUCGACCGUUUCCAAGUUCUCAAACAGGAGGGGGUGGGGUAACUCCAGGGACUCCCCUAUAUUUCAUUUUUUAUUUAUUAUAUUGUCCUAUACUUGAAUAUAUGCAGGGGUUGGUUCAGACAGGGGAGGGUUGCUGGCUUGCACACCCCUUAAAUU